rnacentral:rRNA from 1 species
AGAGUGAACGCUGGCGGCAGGCCUAACACAUGCGAGUCGAACGGCAGCACAGGGGAGCUUGCUCCCUGGGUGGCGAGUGGCGGACGGGUGAGGACAACGUCGGAAUCUGCCUUUUUGUGGGGGAUAACGUAGGGAAACUUACGCUAAUACCGCAUACGACCCCGGGCCGGGAGGUUCGGGUGAAAGCGGAGGACCUUCGGGCUUCGCGCAGAAAGAUGAGCCGACGUCGGAUUAGCUA